UUUUAUGGAGAGUUUGAUCCUGGCUCAGGAUGAACGCUGGCGGCGUGCCUAAUACAUGCAAGUCGAGCGAACGGACGAGAAGCUUGCUUCUCUGAUGUUAGCGGCGGACGGGUGAGUAACACGUGGAUAACCUACCUAUAAGACUGGGAUAACUUCGGGAAACCGGAGCUAAUACCGGAUAAUAUUUUGAACCGCAUGGUUCAAAAGUGAAAGACGGUCUUGCUGUCACUUAUAGAUGGAUCCGCGCUGCAUUAGCUAGUUGGUAAGGUAACGGCUUACCAAGGCAACGAUGCAUAGCCGACCUGAGAGGGUGAUCGGCCACACUGGAACUGAGACACGGUCCAGACUCCUACGGGAGGCAGCAGUAGGGAAUCUUCCGCAAUGGGCGAAAGCCUGACGGAGCAACGCCGCGUGAGUGAUGAAGGUCUUCGGAUCGUAAAACUCUGUUAUUAGGGAAGAA
rnacentral:rRNA from 2 species